UACGGAGGGGGCUAGCGUUGUUCGGAAUUACUGGGCGUAAAGGGCGCGUAGGCGGCGCGAUAAGUUGGGCGUGAAAGGCCCGGGCUCAACCCGGGGACUGCGCUUGAUACUGUCGCGCUGUGAGUCCGGGAGAGGAUGGCGGAAUUCCCAGUGUAGAGGUGAGAUUCGUAGAUAUUGGGAAGAACACCGGUGGCGAAGGCGGCCAUCUGGACCGGCACUGACGCUGAGGCGCGAAAGCCAGGGGAGCAAACGGG
rnacentral:rRNA from 1 species